AGGGGCAUGGGUAAAUGAUGUACCCCAUGGAAAAGGAACACUAAAAACAUCAAUGUCAACAUAUGAAGGAGAAUUUAAUAAUGGUAUUUAUCACGGUCCAGGGACAUUAACCACUCCUUAUUCGGAGUUUAGUGGUAACUUUGUUCAGGGGAUAAGAGAGGGGG
rnacentral:ribozyme from 1 species